UACAGAGGGUGCAAGCGUUAAUCGGAAUUACUGGGCGUAAAGCGUGCGUAGUCGGUUAUUUAAGUCGGAUGUGAAAUCCCAGGGAUCAACCUGGGAAUUGCAUUCGAUACUGGGUAGCUAGAGUUCGGCAGAGGGAAGCGGAAUUUCGGGUGUAGCGGUGAAAUGCGUAGAUAUCCGAAGGAACAUCAGUGGCGAAAGCGGCUUCCUGGACCAGAACUGACGAUCAGGCACGAAAGCGUGGGGAGCAAACAGG
rnacentral:rRNA from 1 species